GGUUGGUUAAUAUUUGGGAAAACUUCCCUGAUUGGGGGGGGGACCAACGUUGGGAAAGGAUGUGUUUAUACCGCAUUUUUCCUUGGGGGGAAAGGCAGCAAUUGCGCUUUUCAGAUGCGCCCAAAACGGGGUUUGGUUAGUAAGGUUGAGGGUAAAGCUUCAUUUAGGCGACGAUCUCUAGCUGGUUUGAGAGGAUGAUCAGCCACAUUUGGGACUGAGACACGGCCCAGACUCUUACGGGAGGCAGCAGUAGGGAAUUAUGCCACAAUGGGGGGAAACCCUGAUGCAGCCAUGCCGCGUGUGUGAAGAAGGCGUUCGGGUUGUAAAGCACUUUCGGAGGGGAGGAACAAAUGACGUUACCCUCAGAAGAAGCACCGGCUAACUCCGUGCCAGCAGCCGCGGUAAUACGGAGGGUGCAAGCGUUAAUCGGAAUAACUGGGCGUAAAGGGCAUGCAGGCGGUCGGACAAGUAGGAUGUGAAAUCCUGGGGCUCAACCUCAGAACUGCAUUCUAAACUGUCCGACUAGAGUAUUGCAGGGGGAGACGGAAUUUCAGGUGUAGCGGUGGAAUGCGUAGAUAUCUGAAAGAACACCAAAGGCGAAGGCAGUCUCCUGGGCAAAUACUGACGCUCAUAUGCGAAAGCGUGGGUAGCAAACAGGAUUAGAUACCCUGGUAGUCCACGCCGUAAACGAUGUCAAAUAGGAGCUUGGACUUAAGUCUGGGUUCCGUAGCAAACGCAAU
rnacentral:rRNA from 1 species